GCCAGUCUGGUCCACAAAGCAAGUUCCAGGUCAGCCGGACCCUUCUGAAAAAUAAAGGCAGCCACUUCUGAGACACCUCAGGAUCCAGUCCCUUCUUGCCACCUGCCGUCGACAGGCGCCCCUCCAUCUGCAGCCGCCUCAGGAGCUGCUUCUCUGGUGCACAAGUGGUCCAGCUGCAUUCUCAUUACUUACAUGCAAGCCAGAGCUCGGGGGUUCAGCCGUCUAUUCUCAGGAAGAAAUGAGGCCGAUGCUCUCUCUAGCCAGUGCACAUAUUACUGACCUGUGGCACUUCCAACCCUAGGAGUCCAAGAUCUGCCCUCCCCAUAAAUGCACCCAGGCAUCCUGACUACUGUGUCAUCACUCAGUACAAAACCACCUCAGGGAGUGAGAAACCGCUGUCCCCAGCUUCUCUAAUCCUUCCAGUUAUGCAAGGCCUCUGCUGAAGACCUGGCUCUCAAGUUGGCAUGGAAUUUCACAGAGCACAGAGGAGCAGAAAGAGAAGAAAUCUACAAAUAACUGGCAAAGAAUAAAACCUCUCUUCUGAAGAGAAACAAAGACUACGGAGGAGCAGUAUGAAUAAGAAGGCGAAAUGACCAAGGACUGAAUGGAAGACGAUUCAAUCUCUCUAAUGCUCAGAGAAAUGCAAAUUGAAAUCAAUAUUAUAUUUCAUUUAUUAGAUUGAUGUUGAUGACAACUAAGAAUUUUAGCAUUCCGUGUUGGAGAAAUUCUGAAAGGACCGACGCUUAUGAACUGCUUAUAAGAAUGUGUGUCAAAAACAAAACAAACAAAAACAAAAAAACGGGUGUGGUCAGCUGGAGAUAGGGGUGUGUGCGGAGCCCCAGACUGCAGCAGAAGAAAGGUGGGAAUAUCAGCAAGACCCUGAGUUAGGAAGAAGGAGGAGGAGGAGGAGGAUAAGGACAAGGAGAGGAAAGAGAGAGAAAAGGGAGUUAACGUGUCUCUGAUGGGCUAAGCUGCAGGUGGCUAUGCUUCAGGAUCAGAGGACACUUUACCUCAGCAAAGACCAUGGGAAGUUCACACCCCUUAAGGACAGGACCUGAGUCCUAUGAAAGUAUGAAUGAACUUAGAGGCAAAGUCCCCCUCCCCCACCAUCCUUGCCAACACCUCCCGAUAGGAGCCAAGACCUUGACUUCAUCCGGCCUUUUAGAAUACUAAGCAAGCAAGACAGUUGAUUUAUACCACAUCCAGAAUUCUGACUACAGAAUUGUGAGGCAGGUAGACAUUGUCCUAAGCACUGAGUCCAUGCUACGUUGCAACAAUGGGGAUAGGAAACUCAUAUAUGCCCAGAAGACUGAGGUACCAGGGAUAUCUCAGCCAUUAGGAGCACUUGCUGCUCUUGUGUAGGACACGGGUUUGAUUCUCAGCAUCCCCAUGGCAGUUCACAACUACCUGUAACUCCAGCUCCAGGAGAUCCCAU